UUGAACGCUGGCGGCAGGCCUAACACAUGCAAGUCGAACGGUAACAGGAAGCAGCUUGCUGUUUCGCUGACGAGUGGCGGACGGGUGAGUAAUGUCUGGGAAACUGCCUGAUGGAGGGGGAUAACUACUGGAAACGGUAGCUAAUACCGCAUAACGUCGCAAGACCAAAGAGGGGGACCUUCGGGCCUCUUGCCAUCGGAUGUGCCCAGAUGGGAUUAGCUAGUAGGUGGGGUAACGGCUCACCUAGGCGACGAUCCCUAGCUGGUCUGAGAGGAUGACCAGCCACACUGGAACUGAGACACGGUCCAGACUCCUACGGGAGGCAGCAGUGGGGAAUAUUGCACAAUGGGCGCAAGCCUGAUGCAGCCAUGCCGCGUGUAUGAAGAAGGCCUUCGGGUUGUAAAGUACUUUCAGCGGGGAGGAAGGGAGUAAAGUUAAUACCUUUGCUCAUUGACGUUACCCGCAGAAGAAGCACCGGCUAACUCCGUGCCAGCAGCCGCGGUAAUACGGAGGGUGCAAGCGUUAAUCGGAAUUACUGGGCGUAAAGCGCACGCAGGCGGUUUGUUAAGUCAGAUGUGAAAUCCCCGGGCUCAGCCUGGGAACUGCAUCUGAUACUGGCAAGCUUGAGUCUCGUAGAGGGGGGUAGAAUUCCAGGUGUAGCGGUGAAAUGCGUAGAGAUCUGGAGGAAUACCGGUGGCGAAGGCGGCCCCCUGGACGAAGACUGACGCUCAGGUGCGAAAGCGUGGGGAGCAAACAGGAUUAGAUACCCAGGUAGUCCACGCCGUAAACGAUGUCGACUUGGAGGUUGUGCCCUUGAGGCGUGGCUUCCGGAGCUAACGCGUUAAGUCGACCGCCUGGGGAGUACGGCCGCAAGAUUAAAACUCAAAUGAAUUGACGGGGGCCCGCACAAGCGGUGGAGCAUGUGGUUUAAUUCGAUGCAACGCGAAGAACCUUACCUGGUCUUGACAUCCACAGAACUUUCCAGAGAUGGAUUGGUGCCUUCGGGAACUGUGAGACAGGUGCUGCAUGGCUGUCGUCAGCUCGUGUUGUGAAAUGUUGGGUUAAGUCCCGCAACGAGCGCAACCCUUAUCCUUUGUUGCCAGCGGUCCGGCCGGGAACUCAAAGGAGACUGCCAGUGAUAAACUGGAGGAAGGUGGGGAUGACGUCAAGUCAUCAUGGCCCUUACGACCAGGGCUACACACGUGCUACAAUGGCGCAUACAAAGAGAAGCGACCUCGCGAGAGCAAGCGGACCUCAUAAAGUGCGUCGUAGUCCGGAUUGGAGUCUGCAACUCGACUCCAUGAAGUCGGAAUCGCUAGUAAUCGUGGAUCAGAAUGCCACGGUGAAUACGUUCCCGGGCCUUGUACACACCGCCCGUCACACCAUGGGAGUGGGUUGCAAAAGAAGUAGGUAGCUUAACCUUCGGGAGGGCGCUUACCACUUUGUGAUUCAUGACUGGGGUG
rnacentral:rRNA from 1 species